rnacentral:rRNA from 1 species
GAUGAACGCUGGCGGCGUGCCUAAUACAUGCAAGUCGAGCGAACAGACGAGGAGCUUGCUCCUCUGACGUUAGCGGCGGACGGGUGAGUAACACGUGGAUAACCUACCUAUAAGACUGGGAUAACUUCGGGACACCGGCGCUAAUACCGGAUAAUAUAUUGAACCGCAUGGUUCAAUAGUGAAAGACGGUUUUGCUGUCACUUAUCGAUGGUUCCGCGCCGCAUUAGCUAGUUGGUAAGUUCACGGCUUAUCAAGGCAACGAUGCGUAGCCGACCUGACGGAGUGAUCGGCCACACUGGAGCGUAGACAGGGACCAGACUCCUAAGGGAGGCAGCAGUAGGGAAUGUUCCGCAAUGGGCGAAAGCCUGACGGAGCAACGCCGCGUGAGUGAUGAAGGUCUUCGGAGCGGAAAACUCUGUUAUGAGGGAAGAACAAAUGUGUAAGUAACUAUGCACGUCUUGACGGUACCGAAUCAGAAAGCCACGGCUAACUACGUG